rnacentral:rRNA from 1 species
CCUACGGGAGGCAGCAGUGGGGAAUAUUGCGCAAUGGGCGAAAGCCUGACGCAGCGACGCCGCGUGAGGGAUGAAGGUCUUCGGAUCGUAAACCUCUUUUAGUAGGGAAGAACGUUCACUGUUCUAAUCAUCAGUGAAUUGACGGUACCUGCAAAGCAAGCACCGGCUAACUCCGUGCCAGCAGCCGCGUUAAUACGGAGGGUGCAAGCGUUACUCGGAAUUACUGGGCGUAAAGCGCUCGUAGGCGGUAUGUCAAGUCAUGGGUGAAAGCCCCGAGCUCAACGUGAGAACUGCAUUUGAAACUGGCAAACUGGAGUGUGUGAGAGGAAAGUGGAAUUCCAGGUGUAGGGGUGAAAUCCGUAGAGAUCUGGAGGAACA